rnacentral:pre_miRNA from 1 species
AUGUAGAACAAAAUGGUUUUAAGAAUGGAUAAACUAUUUUGAAAGAAAAAGAUUCUGAAUAAUUCUCCUUCAAAUCACAUAAUUUUU